rnacentral:lncRNA from 1 species
GGUUUCAAUGGUUUCAAGGGUUUCAAUGGUUUCAAGGGUUUCAAGGGUUUCAAUGGUUUCAAGGGUUUCAAAGGUUUCAAGGGUUUCAAGGGUUUCAAAGGUUUCAAGGGUUUCAAGGGUUUCAAUGGUUUCAAGGGUUUCAAUGGUUUCAAUGGUUUCAAGGGUUUCAAGGGUUUCAAUGGUUUCAAUGGUUUCAAGGGUUUCAAUGGUUUCAAGGGUUUCAAAGGUUUCAAGGGUUUCAAUGGUUUCAAGGGUUUCAAUGGUUUCAAGGGUUUCAAUGGUUUCAAGGGUUUCAAUGGUUUCAAGGGUUUCAAAGGUUUCAAGGGUUUCAAGGGUUUCAAUGGUUUCAAAGGUUUCAAUGGUUUCAAUGGUUUCAAGGGUUUCAAUGGUUUCAAGGGUUUCAAGGGUUUCAAGGGUUUCAAUGGUUUCAAGGGUUUCAAAGGUUUCAAGGGUUUCAAUGGUUUCAAGGGUUUCAAUGGUUUCAAUGGUUUCAAGGGUUUCAAGGGUUUCAAUGGUUUCAAGG